AAUGACUCCCUUGGUUCACCUUUACCCGUGAAAUCCACGAAAAUUUGUAUCCAAUGAAUAAAAAUGAAUUCACAGUACUAUAAAUAUUUUUUAUGAUAAGAAAUUUAUGUGUUGUGAUAUAAAGGGUGUGCUUUGUUUUAACAUUCCAGUAAUUUUAGUUGUAUUAUGUGAUAUUGUUGUAUAUCAUUGUACAAAGAGAUGUUGUGGUUAUUGUGUUUAUUAAACAAAUCCCUCCGUUAUUCUACUUCAUUAACAAUUUGCUAUAGUUCAGUUUUUUUUUGCAAACACUUUCAUCUUUUACAAAACGUUUUGAUCAACCCAAGUUUCAAACAUUUCAUAUACAUGUUGUGGAGUUUCUUUUGAAAACUUUUUCAUCUUUUUCAAACUGUUUUAGCUAACCCAAAUUUCAAACAUUUGCUAUAAUUAUGUUUAUUCUGCAAACAUGUUCAUCUCUGACAAACUGUUUUUAAGUUAUUUCAAGUUUCAAACUUGAAUUAUAUUAUAUAUGCC
rnacentral:lncRNA from 1 species